CUGGGAGUGAGAGGCAUCAUGCCCAAGAACAUGAAAGCUUUGUGGUUCUUCCUCAUUCUGGUGGCAGCUCCCAGAUGUGUCCUGUCCCAGGUGCAGCCGAGGGAGUCAGGACCUGGCCUGGUGAAGCCCUCACAGACCCUGUCCCUCACCUGCUCUGCAUCUGGGUUAUCUUUAUCCAGCAAUCAUAUGAACUGGAUCCGGCAGGCUCUGGGAAAGGGGCUGGAGUGGGUUGGUGAGAUAACCAAUAGUGGAAGCACAUACUACAACCCAACUCUUCAGUCCCGAAUCACCAUCACCAAGGACAACUCCAAAAAUGAAGUCUAUUUAAAGCUGAGUGGCCUGAAAUCUGAGGACACAGCCACGUAUUACUGUGCUAGAGACACAGUGAGAGGAAGUCAGGGUGUCCUUUCUGAAGUGUGGCUGGUGGAGUCUGGGGGUGAUGUGAGAUAUGCUGGUGUCUCUGAGCCUCCAUGUGCAGCCUCAGGAUUCACCUGUGAUACGUACUCCUCACAUAGGUCCCAGAAGACUCCAGGAAAAGGGCUGGAGAGGAUUGCAUAUGCUAGCUGCAAUGAUGAGAGCACUAAGGACACAGACUCAGGGAAAGGUGUCCUGACCCAGCUUCAGCUGCAGGAGUUGGGACCUGACCUGGUGAACCCUCACAGACCCUGUCCCUCACCUGCUCUGUCUCUGGAUUCUCUUUAA